AGCCGUGGCCUACUGGUUAGCGCUUCGGACUUGUAACCGGAACCAGGUUGCCGGUUCGAACCCAGUAAUCACGGCUA
rnacentral:tRNA from 1 species